AAUAGACUACCCGGGUAGUCCACGCCGUAAACUAUGAUUACUCGAUGUCGGCGAUAUACUGUCGGUGUCCAAGCGAAAGUAAUAAGUAAUCCACCUGGGGAGUACGAUCGCAAGGUUGAAACUCAAAGGAAUUGACGGGGGCCCGCACAAGCGGUGGAGCAUGUGGUUUAAUUCGAUGAUACGCGAGGAACCUUACCUGGGCUUGAAUGCAUUAUGACCGUCCCGGAAACGGGACUUUCUUCGGACAGAAUGCAAGGUGCUGCAUGGUUGUCGUCAGCUCGUGCUGUGAGGUGUCGGGUUAAGUCCCAUAACGAGCGCAACCCCUAUUCUUAGUUGCCUAGCGGGUUAAUGCCGGGGACUCCUAAGGAAAACUGGCCCGCGUAAGCGGUGAGGAAGGUGGGGAUGACGUCAAAUCAUCACGGCCCUUACGUCCAGGGCUACACACGUGCUACAAUGGUCAGUACAAAGGGCAGCUACCUGGUGACAGGAUGCUAAUCUCGAAAACUGAUCUCAGUUCGGAUCGAAGUCUGCAACUCGACUUCG
rnacentral:rRNA from 1 species